AUUGAACGCUGGCGGCAGGCUUAACACAUGCAAGUCGAGCGGAGAUGAGGUGCUUGCACCUUAUCUUAGCGGCGGACGGGUGAGUAAUGCUUAGGAAUCUGCCAUUUAGUGUGGGACAACAUUCCGAAAGGAAUGCUAAUACCGCAUACGUCCUACGGGAGAAAGCAGGGGAUCUUCGGACCUUGCGCUAAAUGAUGAUCCUAAGUCGGAUUAGCUAGUUGGUGGGGUAAAGGCCUACCAAGGCGACGAUCUGUAGCGGGUCUGAGAGGAUGAUCCGCCACAAUGGGAAUGAGACACGGCCCAGAAUCCUACGGGAGGCAGCAGUGGGGAAUAUUGGACAAUGGGGGGAACCCUGAUCCAGCCAAGACGGGUGUGUGAAGAAGGCCUUAUGGUUGGAAAGCACUUUAAGCGAGGAGGAGGCUACUGAGACUAAUACUCUUGGAUAGUGGACGUUACUCGAAGAAUAAGCACCGGCUAACUCUGUG
rnacentral:rRNA from 1 species